CAGACCCCUGGGCUAACAGCCCAAGGGAUGCACCUCAAUGGCCCCCACAGGCAUCCGUAUCAGCACACCUGGACCAGCUCAGAACAACGGCCCCCACCAAUGUCUCAGUCUCCGGAGAGGACCCUCCUCUCACCAAGAUGCCCCCAGAGCCCACCAGGUACAUUUAUGAAAGUGCUUCUUGGUCUAAUUUGCUCACAUCCUUGAGAAUAUGAAGAUGAAUGUGAAUUUGAAUUUUGAGGAACUCCCCAGCUUUUAAGGGGCAAUAAAUUUGAAAGCAAAUAAGCACAAGAGAGUGACA
rnacentral:lncRNA from 1 species